GACAGAGGAUGCAAGCGUUAUCCGGAAUGAUUGGGCGUAAAGCGUCUGUAGGUGGCUUUUUAAGUCCGCCGUCAAAUCCCAGGGCUCAACCCUGGACAGGCGGUGGAAACUACCAAGCUGGAGUACGGUAGGGGCAGAGGGAAUUUCCGGUGGAGCGGUGAAAUGCGUAGAGAUCGGAAAGAACACCAACGGCGAAGGCAGAUCUCUGGGACGUGACUGACGCUGAGACGCGAAAGCGUGGGGAGCAAACAGGG
rnacentral:rRNA from 1 species